GGAGGGAUGGCUGAGUGGCUGAAGGCGCACGCCUGGAAAGUGUGUUUAGGUUAAUCCCUAACGAGGGUUCGAAUCCCUCUCCCCCCACCA
rnacentral:tRNA from 1 species